UAGGGAAUCUUCGGCAAUGGACGAAAGUCUGACCGAGCAACGCCGCGUGAGUGAAGAAGGUUUUCGGAUCGUAAAACUCUGUUGUUAGAGAAGAACAAGGACGUUAGUAACUGAACGUCCCCUGACGGUAUCUAACCAGAAAGCCACGGCUAACUACGUGCCAGCAGCCGCGGUAAUACGUAGGUGGCAAGCGUUGUCCGGAUUUAUUGGGCGUAAAGCGAGCGCAGGCGGUUUCUUAAGUCUGAUGUGAAAGCCCCCGGCUCAACCGGGGAGGGUCAUUGGAAACUGGUAGACUUGAGUGCAGAAGAGGAGAGUGGAAUUCCAUGUGUAGCGGUUGAAGGCGUAGAUAUAUGGAGGAACACCAGUGGCGAAGGCGGCUCUCUGGUCUGUAACUGACGCUGAGGCUCGAAAGCGGGGGUAGCAAACAGG
rnacentral:rRNA from 1 species